rnacentral:misc_RNA from 1 species
GAUGAAGAACGUAGCGAAAUGCGAUAAGUAAUGUGAAUUGCAGAAUUCAGUGAAUCAUCGAAUCUUUGAACGCACAUUGCGCCCCCUGGAAUUCCGGGGGGCAUGCCUGUUCGAGCGUCUCAGGGACGAACCCUCGCGCGGGUGUACGCGCGGUCGUGGCUGCGGUGGCGUGCCCGAGGCGGCGGCCACCGCGCUGGAAUCCAUGGGCGGACGCCUGCCGCGUGGCCGAGCGUGAUAUGACGCAUUGGCGCUCGCACGCGGCGAGGCUGCCAGCCCUGGCCCGUCUGUCGGGCGGGGGAGAGCAAGACACGUGAACUCCUCGAAUCAGGUAGGGAUACCCGCUGAACUUAAGCAUAUCAUAAGCGGAGGA